rnacentral:lncRNA from 1 species
CGCCUUUCCCGACACAGGGCAACACUGACGGGCAACACUGACUGGCAACACUGACUGGCACCGAGGCAGGGUCGGAGUAGAGCGGGUGCAGGAUGGACGAGGACGUGCUGACCACUCUGAAGAUCCUCAUCAUUGGCGAGAGUGGGGUGGGCAAGUCCAGCCUGCUCCUGAGGUUCACAGACGACACCUUUGAUCCAGAACUUGCAGCAACAAUAGGUGUUGACUUUAAGGUGAAAACGAUUUCAGUGGAUGGAAAUAAGGCUAAACUUGCAAUAUGGGAUACAGCUGGUCAAGAAAGGUUCAGAACAUUAACUCCCAGCUAUUAUAGAGGUGCACAGGGAGUUAUAUUAGGAAAACCGUGAAGUCGAUAGAAAUGAAGGCUUGAAAUUUGCACGCAAGCAUUCUAUGUUGUUCAUAGAGGCAAGUGCAAAAACCUGUGAUGGUGUUCAGUGUGCCUUUGAGGAGCUGGUUGAAAAGAUCAUCCAGACACCUGGACUGUGGGAAAGUGAGAACCAGAACAAAGGAGUCAAGCUGUCCCCCAGGGAGGAGAGCCACGGGGGAGGAGCCUGUGGCGGUUACUGUUCUGUGCUAUAAACUCUGGGAAGCCGUCUCUUGCAUAUUGGAUCGGAUAGUGAUAUCUCUCUGUAUAUAAACUCUUAACUGCUAAUAGGGACCUUGCAGUUUGCACAUAAUUGUUUUUAUCAUGGCAGUGAGUAUUUGCAAGAAACCCCUCGUUGGCUUUCCCAGGUGAAGCGGUGUGGUAAGCAUGCAGUUUGCAGUCUAUGGGGUUUUUUGAGGGGGGGGUUGUUUUUGUUUUUGUUUUUGGUGUUUUUUGUUUUGGGUUUUUAUGUAACGUAAAAUAGAUGUACCUUCAUGAGUACAUUUGAUUUUAUGAUUUACAUUUAUCAUGUCAUUUUAAAAACAUCUGUCUAGUAUGUGUUGCUGCAAGUCUGCUUUUGUUUUCCCUUUUGCUUAAUUACUGAAUUACUUGGUAUGUAGAACUAGAACCAUGGGGAGGUUCCCCUUGAGGAAUAACAAAGCAUGAUUCACAGCUUUUCUAGGAUGUUUUAGAGUCUUAGUACUAAGUAAAAUUCUCAGUUCAGAAUAUAGCCCAGGCCAAUUCCUAAUUAAAUCUCUAUUUGUUCUGAUGAUGCUUCCAAAAUAGUAUUGCUAAUUUAAGGAAGUUUGGUAUUUACUUUACUCCAUGAUUAGCUCAGUUAUCCAGACAUUAACCCCGUGUUGCACACACUGGGUUCCUGGUCUUGGUGCAGUGUUUUGGUUACAUGGCAUCAGGCAGGCUUUCCUCCAUUUGGGUUUCAGAAGAACAUAAACAGUGUAUUACAGCUCCUUUAAUACUCCACUUUAAAACCAACGUGCUUUUUCACACGUGUUGGUAGUGUUUGUCCAGGUGCCUCAGUUGUAACUUGUUGUGUAAUGACUGUCUGUAUCUUAUGGCUUCCAUAAAUGGCUAGUUGCUAUUCAGAAACACAUUUUUGUGAUUUGAAGAUGGGGAAGGGAAACACUAUAAAUGACAAUUUGAGAAAUGUCUGUUGUUCCAAACUCUGACUGGCGGGGAGAUGCUAUUGCAGUGAGAUCGUUGAUAAGUUACUGUAACAAGUAGCCACUAGUUUGUUAAAAACCAACCUGUACAGAUUAAUAAACUUUUUCCACAAUAUUCAGUUUUCUAACUCCUCGUUACAGUACAUUGUAUGUCGUCUCACUCAUACAUUAUUUCAUUUCUUUGACCUCUGCUAUUUAUGCUCCGUAAGUAAAAUGUACUUAGACUUGUCACUGUAUUGUCCCUUAUAAGACUCUGAUGUUAAUUUUUACAGUUUAUUAUCUUAUGUACAAUGGUAAAUGAUAACACUUUGUGUACCUUUGCAAUAUGGGUGUUGAUGGGUUUACUUCAGAUUGGUUUCUUUCUGAACAGGGUGUCUUCAUAUGGAAACCUCACAUUACAUCAUUUAUACUUGGUAGUCUACAUGUGAUUAGAGCUUUUAUACAUUCUGUAUAUUUUUAUUAAAUGUAAGACUUUUGCUUCUAUACUGUUAGAAGAAGGUAGCUCACACAUGCAUUUAUAAUUUAGUCACGUUACAUUAAAUAUUAGAUUUACGUA